CAUUACUGAGACUGGGUGCUUCGGCGCCCGACCUCCAACCCUUUGUCUACCUUACCACUGUUGCCUCGGCGGCUGCGAUCGAACCCCCUCACGGGGCGCCGAGAGCACCAAGCCGCCGAUGGCCUACAACCAAAAACUCUUGUUUAAACACCGUUCAUCUGAGAAUAAAAACAAUAACUUCAAAACUAUUAACAACGGAUCUCUUGGUUCUGGCAUCGAUGAAGAACGCAGCGAAAUGCGAUAAGUAAUGUGAAUUGCAGAAUUCAGUGAAUCAUCGAAUCUUUGAACGCACAUUGCGCCCUUUGGUAUUCCGAAGGGCAUGCCUGUUCGAGCGUCAUUAUCAACCAUCAAGCCCUGCUUGGCAUUGGGUGUCGACCUCCCCUAACCGGGGGGUCCCGCCUCAAACUGUUCGGCGGUGGCUCAGGGCCUCAAGCGUUAGUAAUACUUCCCGCUUCAGAGAAACUGAGUCGCCCGCCUCUAGAAACCCACAUCUUAAGGUUGACCUCGGAUCAGGUAGGGAUACCCGCUGAACUUAAGCAUAUCAAUAAG
rnacentral:misc_RNA from 1 species